ACCAUCAUCUCCACCUCAUUGCUCCACCUCAUUGCUCCACCUCAAUGAGGUGGAACAUUGAGGUGGAGCAAUGAGGUGGAGCAAUGAGGUGGAGAUGAUGGUA